CGUAGUCGUACACGGUAGCCGUACUCGGAACCGGUAGCCGUAGAGGUUGAUCUGGGUCCCGCUGACGAGCGGCGGACGGGUGAGUAAUGCUUAGGAAUCUGCCCAGUAUUGGGGGAUAGCCCGGGGAAACCCGGAUUAAUACCGCAUACGUCCUACGGGAGAAAGCAGGGGAUCUUCGGACCUUGCGCUAUUGGAUGAGCCUAAGUCGGAUUAGCUAGUUGGUGGGGUAAAGGCCUACCAAGGCGACGAUCCGUAGCUGGUCUGAGAGGAUGAUCAGCCACAUCGGGACUGAGACACGGCCCGAACUCCUACGGGAGGCAGCAGUGGGGAAUAUUGGACAAUGGGGGCAACCCUGAUCCAGCCAUGCCGCGUGUGUGAAGAAGGCUUUCGGGUUGUAAAGCACUUUCAGUAGGGAGGAAAACCUUAUGGUUAAUACCCAUGAGGCUUGACGUUACCUACAGAAGAAGCACCGGCUAACU
rnacentral:rRNA from 2 species